AGGAGAGUGCUUAGACAAUCUGCACUCAGAGUUUGCAUUAAGUCUCAACAUUUAGAAAAUUAUUUGUGGUAUCUCUGGAUUUCAUGAAAGCAAUCAGAAAAUCUUGGUACUGCCAGUCAUAACCAUGUAACAGCUGAAUUUUCUUCGGAUGCUUUUCUGAGCGGCGAAAGUUAGCCAUAACCCCUGCUCACAAUAUGGCCAUGGAAAAUCACAUGGAAAAAGAUUCACUGAGGACCAACUGAAGUGGACUACUUGUAGCUUCCUGCCUUGGCAUGGCCAGAAGAUUUGGUGUUAGACAUCAGGGUUUCAGAAAGAUAAUCUUACAUUUGAAUCUUUCGUGUGUCAAAAGACCUGGGUAAAUCAUUUAUAUACUUCAAAACUCCAUAUGCCAUCCACGAAAGAGUAAAGAGUAAUGUUAUUCUCUCAAGAUUUUUAUUACGUUUGUAAGAUAUUUCACUAUUCUAGCAGAAAAUAAAUACUCAACAACUUGUACUCACAAAAGAAUGCACUUCGCAUACAAUUGCAUUUUUGCAUUGUAUGUCUUCAUUGUCAGGUUUACAUAGACACAUCCUAGCAUGCUCAAGUUCUAUUUCAAUUGUCAUGCCUUUCAUAAGAUGAUCUCUGCUCUUUCACAAUAAGAAUACUAUCUUUUUGGAAAGAAAUUACAGUAAAAAGCACAAAAUGGAGAAGGUGAAAAAGUCCAUACAUUAUUUCAUGCACUUAUUUUUAACAAGUUUAAGAAGCGACCUUAUUAAGAAACAGAGACUCGAAAUAAUUAAAACAGGAAAACAUUUGAAGCUAGCUUAUGAAGCCACCAGGGUUGUAUGUUCUCCAGUUAUUGUCAGUAAACUCUCAAGGUUGAUUUCAGCCAAUGUGUUGAAGCUUGCCUUACUCUCCCCUUCCUUUCUCCUUAUUUUCCUCCCUUCCUUAUUUCUUCUUUCCUUCCUUUCUUUCUCCCUUCCUCUUUCUCUCACUUUUUAUGAUAACUCUAUUUGAAGGAAAUAAUGUUUCACAAUUUUUUCUCUUAUAGCUAUUUCAAGGAAUGAAGGAAAAAUCUAUGUUUUAAUUGAAUAAUACACAUCGUGUUUUAUAAUUACCAUUUGACAUCACUGGGACAUUUGAAAAGUCAAGGCAAAUCAUUAUGCCUUCAUUGUUUUUCUGUCACGCAAUUUCCAUUUUAUCCACUUAGGAAAUAUUUCAUUAUUGUUCAUCACUCUUCACAAUGAUGUUGAAGAAUAAAAUCAUUU